rnacentral:tRNA from 1 species
UCCACAGUAGCUCAGUGGUAGAGCUAUCGGCUGUUAACCGAUCGGUCGCAGGUUCGAGUCCUGCCUGUGGAGCCAU